CCUACGGGUGGCAGCAGUGGGGAAUAUUGCGCAAUGGGCUAAAGCCUGACGCAGCGACGCCGCGUGAGGGAUGAAGGUCUUCGGAUCGUUAACCUCUGUCUGCAGGGAAGAACGGUCACUGUGCUAAUCAGCAGUGAAUUGACGGUACCUGCAAAGGAAGCACCGGCUAACUCCGUGCCAGCAGCCGCGGUCAUACGGAGGGUGCGAGCGUUGAUCGGAAUUACUGGGCGUAAAGCGCUCGUAGGAGGGAUGUCAAGUCAAGGGUGAAAUCCCCGCGCGCAACGUGGGAACUGCCUUUGAAACUGGCAAACUGGAGUGUGUGAGAGGAUAGUGGAAUUCCAGGUGUAGGAGUGAAAUCCGUAGAUAUCUGGAGGAACAUCAGUGGCGAAGGCGACUAUCUGGCACAUAACUGACGCUGAGGAGCGAAAGCGUGGGUAGCAAACAGGAUUAGAUACCCUAGUAGUC
rnacentral:rRNA from 1 species